rnacentral:rRNA from 1 species
AUUGAACGCUGGCGGCAGGCCUAACACAUGCAAGUCGAGCGGAUGAGUGGAGCUUGCUCCAUGAUUCAGCGGCGGACGGGUGAGUAAUGCCUAGGAAUCUGCCUGGUAGUGGGGGACAACGUUUCGAAAGGAACGCUAAUACCGCAUACGUCCUACGGGAGAAAGUGGGGGAUCUUCGGACCUCACGCUAUCAGAUGAGCCUAGGUCGGAUUAGCUAGUUGGUGAGGUAAAGGCUCACCAAGGCGACGAUCCGUAACUGGUCUGAGAGGAUGAUCAGUCACACUGGAACUGAGACACGGUCCAGACUCCUACGGGAGGCAGCAGUGGGGAAUAUUGUACAAUGGGCGGAAGCCUGAUCCAGCCAUGCCGCGUGUGUGAAGAAGGUCUUCGGAUUGUAAAGCACUUUAAGUUGGGAGGAAGGGCAGUAAGUUAAUACCUUGCUGUUUUGACGUUACCAACAGAAUAAGCACCGGCUAACUUCGUGCCAGCCGCCGCGGUAAAAC